AUGAUAUCUAUAUUAUGUAUUUUCCUCAAACUCACAAUAAAAAUUACUGUCCAAGUAAAUCGAGUCAAAUUAAAGUUGUUCUUUAAUUUUCCAGCUGCAAUUAAACCCAGGAUCUUUGAACCCAGAAUUUUUGACAAGGAGGCCACAGGCUUUGGGCCCAUAUUUGAGGAGGAGCCCUUGGACACAGUGUAUGCGGAGGAUUCACCAGAGAACAAAAUCUCCAUGAACUGCAGAGCACAGGCCUACCCUCCGGCCAUUAUCAAGUGGUGGUUAAACAACUGGGAAAUUAAACUGAUGGAGCAACCUGAUGAGCACUUUAGCCUGGUGGGAGGAAACCUGGUCAUCACCAACCCAGACAAGAGCAAGCAUGCUGGGAAAUAUGUGUGUGUGGCUAAGAACGUGUACGGCACUGUCAUCAGCAAAGAGGCCACUGUCAAAUUUGGAUACCUAAACCAGUUCCCUACAGAUGAGAGAGAGCCGGUGCAUGUUAAGGAGGGACAAGGAGCAGUGCUGCUGUGUUCUCCUCCCUCUCGCUAUCCAAGUGAGGUGAUGUUCCGCUGGAUCUACAAUGACUUCCCAAACUUCAUCAUACCAGACCAGAGGCGUUUCGUGUCACAGACCACUGGCAAUAUGUACAUCGCUAAAGUCGAGGCAUCUGAUGUUGGGAAUUAUUCUUGUUUCGUGUCAAGCCCCACCAUCGGCAAGAGUGUUUUCAGCAUGCCGAUUUCUCUGAUUCCACAAAUAGAGAAGGAGGUGAAGCGGUAUCCUGCUGAUAUCCGUGUGAAAUUUCCCAAGACUUAUGCUUUGGUGCAUCAGAACAUCACUCUGGAGUGCUUUGCCCUUGGAAAUCCGCUCCCACACAUCCGCUGGAGGAAGUUAGACGCUGAUCUCCCGCCCAACUAUGAGGUCAGCAUGAAUGGAGCUUUACUGCACCUGAUUAACGUUCAGUACGAGGAUGAAGGGAGCUACGAGUGUGAGACGCUCAACGUUAAAGGGAUGGACUGGUAUCGACAGUGGCUCUAUGUGGAAGGUAAAACAAGCUCUAACAACAAAAAUGUUGGUAGCGAACUCACUCUCAGGUGUGUUGCCGUGGGGAAGCCUUUACCAUGGAUACGCUGGCUGAAGGAUGGCUAUUCGCUGCUCUUUUCUAGAAGUGUCUUCGAAAAGGUACAUAAUUAUUGUCGAAGGUUGAGUGUCUACAAUGGUCUGUUCACAGCCUGUGCACCAACAUUCAUUUAUAAUCCAGUGAAGAAGGUUCUGCUCGGGGCUGAAAACGGUCGUGUGGUUAUAGAGUGCAAACCCAGCGCUGCUCCUAAACCCAAGUUCAUCUGGAAACGAGGCUCAGAGCUGCUGACCAACUCUUCAAGGAUGUUAAUUUGGGAUGAUGGAAGUCUGGAGAUUCUGAACGUGUCAAAAAGUGACGAGGGCUCGUACACAUGCUAUGCUGAGAAUGACCGCGGCAAAUCCAACAGCACAGGGACCCUCACUAUCACCGAGGCCACCAAAAUCACAGAGGCUCCAUCAGACACUGAGGCAGUUGUAGGUGACACUACAAUUCUCCAGUGUUCUGCAUCAUUUGAUCCCAGCCUGGACAUCACCUUUAUCUGGACUGUUGAUUCCUACGUCAUCAACUUCUACACAGACUUUGAACACUACGAGCUGCUCAUGGGUGACGAGAACAGCGGAGACCUGCUGAUCAAGAACAUCCAGGUGAGGCACGCAGGACACUAUUCCUGCACAGCUCAGACCAUAGUGGACAAUGCCACCGCAGAAGCUGAUGUUUUUGUCAAAGGUCUGCCUGGUCCUCCAGGUGGUGUCCGUGUGGAAGAGAUUGGAGACACGUCAGUAAAACUACGAUGGAGUCUGGGAUCAGACCACGGUAGUCCUUUUAUCCAACAGGUUGUACAAACACGAGACUUUUACGCCCUGGAUCCUGAGGACUGGAAAACCGCAUCCACCUCUCCUGUGUUUUUGGACGGAUCUACAGAGUCAGCCACCAUAGUUGACCUUUACCCCUGGAUGCAAUAUGAAUUCCGUGUGCAUGCAAUCAAUGAAUUUGGAGCUGGGGAAAACAGCCGUCCGUCCAUCAAAAUCAAGACAUGGGACGCCAGGCCUACAGUAGCUCCUUCUGAUGUACUGGGGCAAGUUGGAAUAAGCGGAGAGCUUAUCGUGACCUGGACUCCUGUAAAGCCUCAGUUCUUCUUUGGUAAAAAAUUUGGCUACGUCGUGGCGUUUAAGCAGCAUGAGGAUUCUGAAUGGAAGUGGACGACUGUGGAGGAUCCCGAGACUAGACGCUACGUCUACAAAGAUAGCAUGACCCCAGACACUGAGAUACAGGUCAAAGUGAAAACCUACAAUAACAAAGGAGAAGGACCCUCAAGUCUUAUAUCAGUGGUCGACUCACCAAGGCUAGCACCCACUGAAGCUCCAUUAGAUGUCUACGCCCGCCAGGUCACCGCUACAGAAGCUUUGGUCUGGUGGUUACCGAUCUACCAGGCACCGCCAAACUGGGUCGAUGGAUACCAGAUUCGUUACUGGAGGAAGUACGAUGAUAAUGAAGCUGCUGCCUCUCGAGUUCUUGUGCAUAGAGCAAUUAACCAAACUCGCCUGGAGAACAUGCGGCCUGACUCCCACUACCUCAUAGAGGUACGAGCGUUCAACGGAGCUGGGCUCGGGCCACCCAGCGAGCAUUGUGAAAUGUUCACCAGGAGACCACCCCCAAGUCGCCAUUUGAGAGUCUACAAAUAUGUCAGCUUUAAUCGCAAAUGGCUCUAUCUAUAUUGGGAUCACAUCUAUAACUACUGGAAUGAGUCAUAUGUGGAGGGAUACAAGAUUUUGUUCAGGAAGGAAGGAGAGCGUUAUGGGAAGCUUUACACCACAGGCAGACACUACAUUGACUUUCCCAUGCCAGAGACAGGUGAUUACAUCAUAGAGGUCCGAGCCCGCUGCGAGGGAGGUGAUGGACCCAUAUCACAGAUCAGAGUGCAAGGGAAAGCCGCUUUGGGUGCUGAAUCUCUCAGCGUCGCCUCUGUCUUGCUGCUGGCACUGGGAUGGAUGAAUUUAGGCCUGUAGGCAUAAACAGCUGUCAACACUUUUGGCGAAAUUCACUUCUAAGAAACAAUCUUUAUAUAUUUUGAGUGCAUUUCCUUAAAGCGGUGGUUUUCGUGGUGUAGAUGAAGUUUGUUUGGGAGUGUAGAAUAUAAAGAAUUUAUACCCUCUUGGUUUGCCUUACAAACUACAGUACCCGCAAUCAACUAAUGAAACGUAUUGUAAAAUAAAUGUGGUGGCAGGGUAUGGUGAACUUUUUUG
ensembl:lncRNA